UGGGGAAUUUUGCGCAAUGGGCGAAAGCCUGACGCAGCAACGCCGCGUGUGUGAUGAAGGUCUUUGGAUUGUAAAGCACUUUCGACCGGGACGAAAACCCCUGGGCUAAUACUCCAGGGCUUGACGGUACCGGGAGAAGAAGCACCGGCUAACUCUGUGCCAGCAGCCGCGGUAAUACAGAGGGUGCAAGCGUUGUUCGGAAUUAUUGGGCGUAAAGCGCGUGUAGGCGGCCUUGCAAGUCGGAUGUGAAAGCCCUCGGCUCAACCGAGGAAGUGCGUUCGAAACUGCAGGGCUUGAGUGCCGGAGAGGGUGGCGGAAUUCCCCAAGUAGAGGUGAAAUUCGUAGAUAUGGGGAGGAACACCGGUGGCGAAGGCGGCCACCUGGACGGUGACUGACGCUG
rnacentral:rRNA from 1 species